UAGCCUUGCAAUCCUGUUCACAGAGAAUC
rnacentral:piRNA from 1 species